GACGCGGAGACGUUGGCGACAGUGGCCGCUGGGGGAGCUGCUGAGUGCCGCCCAGCACUGGGCUCCCUUUCCCUUCACUCUCGGCAGUUUCUUGCCUCCGUGGGUGGUUGGCGCGUCUGCGGAGCCAGAGUCGUUGUGUGGAUCGUGGGACUGCAGCCCCAGCCAAAGGGCUGUCACGUCUGGUCGGUUCCGUCACCCACGGUUCCGGUUUCCAGUCGUUAAGGGUCCAGCAGUCUGUUAAGUAGCUCCCUGUCCCUUCUGGAAGCUUGGCCAGGGAAGGUCAUUCCACCUUUGAGUUCCAGAGACAAGGUCUCACUGUGUCACCCAGGUCGGAGUGCACUGGUACAAUCAUAGCUCAUGGCAACCUCAAACUCCAAGGUUCAAGUGAUCCUCCUGCCUUGGCCUCUGGAAGUGUUGGAAUUACAGCUGUGAGCCAUGGUGUUGGGUAUCAGAAGAACCAGCCCCCAAUAUUUCAGCAUGAAAUCUCGCUCUGUCAUCCAGGCUGGAGUGCAGUCGCACUAUCUCAACUCAUUGUAACCUCUGCACUUGUUCCCUAAAAUCACUGUUAUUCUGUUCUUUUUUAAGGUGCACUGAUUUCAUAUUGUUCAAAUGCACAUUUACAAUCAGAUUUCAUAUUGUUCAAACACACAUGUUUUACAAUCAAUUUGUUAGUUAAUGCAAUCAUCACAGGGUCCUGAGGUGACGUACAUUCUCAGCUUAUGAAGAUAACAGGAUUGAGAUUAAAAUAAAGACAGGCAUAAGAAAUUAUAAGAGUAUUAUUUGGGAACUGAUAAAUGUUCA
rnacentral:lncRNA from 1 species